CACAGUAAGCACUUCGUUUCUUUCGUAAAGACUGAUGUCUUGUUUCGUUGUAUGAGUUAAAACACACAAUACAAUCAAUCUUAAGCGGUAGCUCUCAUCACAAAAGCCUCCGAAUUGGACAUUUGUCAAAGUAAUGUUCAUGCUAGACGCAGUGCGUUGACACAAAUUUUGAUAUAUCAACCCACCAAUCCGUAUCUA